UACGAAGGGGGGCUAGCGUUGCUCGGAAUUACUGGGCGUAAAGGGCGCGUAGGCGGACAGUUUAGUCAGAGGUGAAAGCCCAGGGCUCAACCUUGGAAUUGCCUUUGAUACUGGCUGUCUUGAGUUCGGGAGAGGUGAGUGGAAUGCCGAGUGUAGAGGUGAAAUUCGUAGAUAUUCGGCGGAACACCAGUGGCGAAGGCGACUCACGUGGCCCGAGUACCUGACGCUGAGGCGCGAAAGCGUGGGGAG
rnacentral:rRNA from 1 species